AGAGAAAUAUGCUAUCAAUUAAGCAGUCAGACUCAUAAUCUGGAUAAGAAAUAUUCUUUCUCUA
rnacentral:tRNA from 1 species